ACCCUUGAACUUUCCUUUAUUUUAAGCCCAGUGCUCAAAUGUUAACCCAAAUAAUGCCGCAUUUAAUCAAUGUUGAGUCUGCAAAUUGAGGCGUUAAUAAUGAUUAAACAGUCGUCGCAUGCCUUCCCUCUGGACUUGCGCCAUUUAAGACAACCGUUUAAACAAAACCUUUGCACUUAACCCACGAUUUCUAACGUUAACUAACCGUUUACUAUAUAAUCCUCACUUAAACCCUUCGACCAAGUACCUUAGCAAUCUUAAACAUUCGAAUUUCCAGAACUUCCUAGAUUUUCCAACUUUCCCAGUACUCUCUUGUCCUUAGCUCAUUUUUGCUUUCUGCCUUCAAAUUUCUACUAUCUUUUCUAAGAUCAUCCAAUGGCACCUAAAGUUGCUCGAACUCAAUCUUCCUGCGAGACUUG
rnacentral:lncRNA from 1 species